UCUUAGUAAAGUCCAAACUGUCAACGCUGAUGUCGUCUUUCCUCCGUUUGCCUCCGACACAGACUCUCCGGGGCUUAAGAAUCGCUCGUGGUUUGCUGCUCUCUCGGGACGCCUCCAAGAGCCUACCCCUGUUGAGGCAGUGCUGGCAGGGAAAUGCUCUGUGCCCAGGACAGAGCAGAAACACCAGGCACAGUCCGGCCGUCUGCAGGGCAGCGUCCCUCGCCAUUCUCCCGGCAAAGGCCUGCCACCCGCCUGCCGCUGUGCCGUGAGGUUCAUAAUGAUGGGCCCCAUGUACCACGGGCUGCAGAGCAGCGCAGGGCUGGGAUGUGGCCCCGCAGGAGCGAGGGGCCCUCCCUCCGGAGGACUCCAGGAACAGCCGGGGAGCAGUAUCCAUGCAGGCAACGUACCCAUGUACCAACUAAGCAGGAAAAUAUAAUGCACAACGAUGCAUGUAUGAGGUAAGGAGGGUUUUUCUGUUACACAUAUAAAAGAAUAAAAAUUGUAACUGAAUAUAGAAAGUGUCUGCUCAGUAUUUCUACACUAUUUGCCCUGCACAGCACUGUUACAAGUGCCUGCCCAAGCAUCCUCACAAUCAAGGCUGGCUCAAGAAGCUAAAGAAAACAAAAAAAGUCUCCCUGCCAAUUAGGUCCCUCACACUGGGUCACUGUAGCUCAAAUUCUUAUCCAUUGGUUUUCAUUGGUUUUUCUUUACAAGGAGGAGAAACUCACUCUUACCAAAUGUAAAAACAAAGAAGGGAAAAAAAUCCAGUGCAGUCCAAUCCUACUUUUAUUAUAUUGACUUUUCUUUAUUCCCUCCCUAGUUGCCGCUCUGGUCUCUUUUUCUAUUCCCUCCCUAUCCAGUUUUGUGCUUUUGUCUUUACCAUACUUUCUAGUUAACUUUUCUUUUCUUUUCUUCCUUCCCUUUUCCAUUUCCAUCUAGGCUGCUCUGUGAGUUUUAAAAAUACUAUUUUUGCUUCUCUCUCCCUCUUCUGCUAGCUAAGUAGUGUCCCUAGCUUUGCUCUCUUUUGCUUUACUUUGUCUUGUCCAUUCUUCUGUUCUUUUCUUCUCUUCCUCUUACCCUUCAUUUUUGAGGUCUUACUGCUCAUCCUUUUCUACCAUCUCCCUCGGUCACCACUCCUGCUUACUCUCAUGGACAACUUGCUCAGCCCUCAAGGACUUCAGGCUUCUCUCCUUGCCUUCCCCUUUGGGCUGAAGGCUGGAUAAAUGCUGCUGGACAAAUGAGCUGAUGGGCAGAUGUCCUCUUGCAUCACAUAUAGAUGACUGGUUCCUGUGCUCUUGAAUCUGACAGGGAUUUGGUAAUACAGGUUGUGGCCCCAGAGAUGUCCAGCUGUUGCGAGAUCUGUAUGGCUUGGUCAGUCACAUAAAGCCUACCAGCUUACCACAGGGUGCAGGGAGGGAAAUGCACUGCAGGCUGUCUGUUUUGCAGGAACUUUUACUCUUGCCAAGGGCUGUAAAAGGGGCUUUUGCAUGCAGUCAUGUGCGUAAUCUGCUUCUGAGAUGGGCAAUCACGACACAGCGCUCAAUGACCUUUCUGCAAAUCCUCUGGAACUAGAGCGCAGUGCAGCAGCAGAGGUGGUUUCCGAAUCAAGAGAACAUUAACUGCUUCUUCUGUACAGGACCUGCAUUCAGGGCUCUAUGCCUUGCUUGUCAGGUAGCCAGCAGUAUUUCAGGUAAACUAAACUUUUCUACCAAAUUUCAAUCUCUAAAGUUCUCUGGCACAAAGGAUUCAAGAAGAAAGAGUUCUUCCUAUUUACAUUGUAGGAAUGACACUCAAAAGUAGAACAGCACAUGUUUACCCAUGAAUAACAGUUUAAUGGUGCAGCUACUGGUGUCAUGAAAAUGAAUGUUUAAUUUAAGGCCAGAGUUUUACAUCUGUGUAGGAAUAGGUAAGGAGAUAGUUACACAUCUCCUGGGGGGGCUACAAAAGCACCCUAACAACUACUGAUGCCUUCAGCAUCUUUAAGCUUCUUCAUACCUUAAAACAUCUGGCUCUGAAUAGUUUGUUUUUUGGCCAUGACUCUCUGCUAAAUGAAAUGCUUGUGCAGUAUCUGAGCAAUGAAAUGCUUUGUGGCUUUCUCCUCUGUAAAGUCCUACUUCUGUAGGAGGGUCAACAAACUUCCUAUUUCAUCAACCCCAAGGCCAUCGGACUAGGACUUUAUCAUUUGUACAGAACUGCAGUGAUAUUUUCUUCCACCAUAGUAUUUAGGUAUUGAGAUUUCAUCAAGCCUGUUAGUAAGGCUUGGUAUCACUCCAUCUUUCUCAUAUGUCUGCCAUUCCCACAUUUUGUUCUGGUUUCUUUAUUGCAAGAGAAGCUCUUAAAUCUGUUGUCCCUGUUGCAGCUACCCUUGCAUAUGAACAGUUCAUAAAGAAUUGCUCGAGGCAGCCGUCAGGAUUUGCCUUGAAGCUAUGGGGAUAUCAUCUGCAAUUAAGGCCUGGUCAAAAACCAAACUACUUGCUCUGCACUGGCUUUUUUUUGUGUAUAAUACUUCUAAAACUAGUUUUGGACUAACUUGGGCCUAGAUUGUUCCUCCUAGCUGCACAGAAAAUUUUCUUCAGCUGCACAUUUCUAUUGUCCAGAAAAUCCAGCUUUUGUCACAGUUUCCCCUUUCACAGUUGCUGAGGAGCCCAUGGAAGCCCCAGGAUGGAUGGUGGGAGAACAGCUGGGCAGGCUUCAAGAACCAGCACACUCCACGCUUAAGGAUGAUAGAAAAACUAAACCAGCCCUGCUAACCUGCCCCCCCCCCCACCCCCCAAUUGCAAAUGUAGCAGCAGAUCCGAAUUCGCUGAAGCAACAAAGAAGUGACACUGAAUCCAGGCAGGUGGGAGGGGAGGAGAUUCUCAGAGCAUCUUCUAUCAGCCCCAUCUCCAGAUUUUAUCAUGACAUGCUGCAAAGGUGUCCCUUGUAGGCACCCAGCACGAAAAGAGACAAUUUCUUUGAUCUGACACCAUUCCCCCAGUUAUAUGCCAAGUCCUAAAUUUGGAAGAUUUCAAUACCAUGUGUACCAGUGUAGAUCAACAUAUUUGCAGUCUUCUGGGACCAACAUGCAUGGCCCAAAAGAGCCAGCUGACCUUAUGAGAAGCAAGGCUUGGUUCCACAAAAAUAUUUCAAAAAUCUUAUUCCUGGGCAAUGACCUUUUUUUUUAGGACAAAGGGGAAGGAGGAAGCACUGUUGCAAGCAAGUUUCCUUUCACUGUUACACUGCUUAAUUCAUUAAUGGGGCGGGCCACUUAUAAUGGGGAAUUUUACUUUAUUCUGCGCCACGUGAAGCAAGUGCCUCCCCAUCAUAAAGGCCACACUUUAAACCUCGGGGGGAGUGUGCUGACACUUGAGACACCAGAUCAGGGUCGUGGCACUUAGGUACAGGUGGCUGCAAUAGGACUGGAAAGGAGAAGAGGGGGAUCCCCACGUCCUUCCAAGCUACUAUUUGAGAUGAUGGGCCUUGAUAACAAAAUGAUGUCUUCUAGCUCUCCAGUACAGAGCAUGCUGCCAGACAGGCAUCAACUGUUAACAUUUUGUUCACUGGGACCUGCCAAUUCUGCCUGAUUAGACUGAAGGCUGACGGAUGCUCACCGGCAUGAAUGACAGUUCAAUAGGAAAGGACUAACUGAACAGUUGUAUGUGACUUCACUCAUCAGCUUACAGCCUAUCACUUAUCAUGAUGGGCUCGUAUUCAGAAGUCUCCUUAGAAGGGUUUCCCUACACCCAUUUAGUUGGAAUCUUUAUUAAAAAGAAUAGUAGUUAAGGUAUUCACUACCAUGUAGAAUGUACUAGACUAAUUUUUUUCUUUUGCUGGUGUUGCCUGUAAUUCACAGACAAACAGCUCCAGAAGUGUUAAUUUUUGUCAUAAAGCUGAAAUAAUAAAAGGGCUAUGGUUGACAGUGGGAAGAAGAAAGUAUCCUGCAGAUCAUUAUUAAUAGAUUUUACUGUAGAGCUGAAUGAAAGAAUUAAAUAAAAUUAGUAUAUAUCUACAUAGCCAUGUAAGCAUGAUGCAUAUAUAAUAUAGAUGGCAUGAUUUCAGUGUAAUAUACUCAACUACAGAUAAAAUGCGCUCAUCUGGUUGAAUUACUUUAAGACCUCUGCUUGACUUCCUCCCCUGACCACUCUUUUUGCCCAAGUACUGAAUGAUUAAUGUGUCCUUCAGCAAAUGAGAUCAGGUCUGUCUGAUUGUAUUAGUUCCUCUUCAUUGGAGUAACUGAGCAUCAAUCAUGUUCUAAUCAGAGCUCAUAUACAUUGAUUUUUUUUUUCUUUUUUUUUUUUUUUGUAAACAGCCUCACCAUCAGGGUCUAUCAUUAUCCUGGAUUAGCUCCUUAAUAAUGACAAAAAUAAUUGAUUUUAAAAAAAUAUUUUCACCUAAAUAAUAAACAUGCUUUUAUUUUUAACGGAACAAUCCUGUCACUUUAACUUGUCAUUUUAGUUUUAAAGUCUGCAAAGGAUAAAAAGUAAAAGUUUAGAAUGGCAAUUAUUACUACUAUGCAUAUGUAUUAAUACUACAAAUAUUAUAUUACACAGUCUCUUAAGAGUACCAUUACUAAUAGGCAUUGCUUACCUUUUACAGUAGUUUUUUAAAAAAAAAUUACAUACCAUAAAGAAUGAAAUUAAAAGUGACCGUAAUAUUCAAAUGAACUGUUUUUAAGAGUUACUGGUACCUCUAUAUAACUUAAACUAUGAUCCACCAAAAAAGUCAUUGUAGUAUAUAGCAAAACAAUAAAAUACUUGUCAUACACAGAAGCAAGAAGCUCAGAAGAGUGAGUCUUUCCUCUCCUUAAAAGAUGAACAUCUGUGCUGAUACAUUCAACUUGUAAAAAGAAACAACUAAAUUAAAGCUGACUGUUAUCUUUUGUCCAAUGUUGCCAGCUACUCUACUCAAUAGUUUCUUAAAAUUGAGAGCAGUGUAUUGUGUUUAGUGAUGGAAUUGGUAAUUGUGCAAGACUAACAACCCGUCAAUGUUGAGGCAGUAAAAUCAAUUAAGCCCGUACAAUGGUAUGCAUCCACUUAAUGAUUACUCACUACAUUGAUCUUUCUGAUCUGCCAAGUAGGAACUAAAAUAUUACACUCACUCAGUAUCACCCUGAUAUUGAAUAAUACUAUUCAGAUAGUGGGCUCACUUCACUAAUGAGGAUGGUAGCACUUCAUUCAGCAAUGGGAGAAAGACUCUGGGCAUGUGAACCACAUGGCAGCCCGUCCUGUACAAUGCACUGGGAAUUCCUGCUAAGGAUGAACAAAAAUGGUUUGUAAUGAUCUGAAACCCCCUGAAUCUUUGUGGGAGUUUCAAAAUAUCUGAUUAAUUUCUCUUUGCUUGUAUGAUUCUUCAGUGCUAGAUUUGGGCAGGGAUCAGCACCAGCGUAUUUCCAGGAAAGGCUUUUAUGUGUUUCCAAUAGGACUAAAUCAAGCAGUGCUCAGUCUCCUGAGACAGCUCUCUGCUAAAAACAUCUAUUCAUACACAGGAUUAGAAAGUUUAGAGAAACACCUCAAAACCUAGAUAUUCCUCUAAAACUGCUAUGAGUCAUUCCCACUUUUGACCAUAUUGAAACUACUGUCACGACAGCUCAUCUGCUCAUUCCUACGUGGUAGCCCUAACAAUCUGGGAAGGAUUUUGCCCAGUGUGGUCCACCUACGUCAUUUUAAAUGGCCAGAGCCUGUAUCAGAGAGAGACUAUACCCAGUGCUGAGUUAAUCCUCGUCAGCAAACACAUUACCCUGGCAUGCAAUAGUAGCUUAUGGAAAUGGCUUUAGAAUCUCAGUUGUCUGACUCAUCUAAAUACAAAGACUGGAUGAAUCACUUCUACGUGGACAGGAUGGCCUUCCUGCUCCCAGUUUCCAUUAUUCUUUAAGGAAGUCCAUAAACUGGACUACUCAGUAUCUUUGUGAAAGAACUGAAGUAUAACUCUUACAGAUCAGAGAUCAUGGAAGGAUAUAACUUCUUCUGAAUGUUAUUAAAGGAAAAAGUCUGAGUUCUUAGUAAAGAGAGAAGCUCUCCACUGGGAAGGUAAGGCACUACACUUUAUCUGUAUUUGUGGAAUACAGGACUGAAAGACACCCUGUUCUGCACUACUGAGUUCAGUCGCUUGGCAUUUCAAGCAAUGUCUUGUAUAAUUUCUUUUCUGAAAAAAACCCCAAAUUUUCUGAGCACCAGCCUCAAAACAGGUGGGCUUUUUACAGCUCCAUUAUUUGGGGCUGGAAGACUGCUCCAUGCUGCUGCUCCAACAGGUACAAACUGCCUCUCAUUCCUAGCCAAGUUCUAGUUUCCAGCCAAGUUGUCACUUGGUACCUAUAUUUGCUCUUUUGCCAUUAUCACCAGCAUUUAGCUUAGCUAGAUCCUCUUCCUGCCUACAUACACCUCCUUGAUGUACUUAUUAGAAGCAAGUAGAAUCAUGGCUUCUCUUCUGCUAGGCUGAUCAAAAUAAACUCUUCCAGUCUCCUCUCUGUAGAGCAUCUGUCCAUUUGUCCAAUCAGUUCAUUCACCUUCAGUGCACCUGUGUUUCAUCUGCCUUGAAGAUGAGAGACCAGAAACGUGUGACAGUAGUCCAGAGGUCUUUCAGUAGGGCUGUAAUAUAAUGUCACCACUACUCUUCUCUCUGCUGGACAUCCCAGUCUUGCCCAUUCAAGAUCAUAUUUGCCCUUUUCCUAGCUGCAGCACACUGCAUUUCAUACUCCUUCCCUAGUUCGGGUGGACAGGCCUGCCUCAAGUGCAAUGAGCCGGACUGUUUUCCUCUUUCCCGAAUGAGAGGCUACGUGAGCUGAAGGCACAGUUCCAGGCUCCCAGCGAGCGCCAAACUGACCGGCAGCAUUUGCCUGUUGGCUAUCAGCUCCUGCUGAGCCAGGAGUCACUGUGUGCCAUUCAAAACUGGCUCAGGUGCUCUCUUUCACAUUCGUUCUCUAGAUUGCUAAUCCCCUUCACAGUCACCUAGUGUAUCAUGUCCUUAUGGGUUGUUUCCAACUGA